UGCGUGUGCCGUGUCUUGUUUGUCAUCCUUCAGAUAGCUGCGUCUACCAUUCACUUGGCCGGACGUACGCGAUCUGGAUCGAUUACUUUGAAAAAAUUAUAGUGUUUAAAGCAUGCUUACGCUGUGAAUACAUUAGCAUGGAAUAAUAAUUUAAGACUUCUGUUCUAUUUUGUUGGUUUCUAAGACUGAAGUAAUGAUUGAUAGGGACAGUUGGGGGUGCUAGUAUUCCGCGGCCAGAGGUGAAAUUCUUGGAUUCGCGGAAGACUAACUACUGCAAAAGCAUUCACCAGGGAUGUCUUCUUUAAUCAAAAACAAAAGUUGGGGGAUCAAACACUAUCAUAUACCGUCAUACUCUCAACCAUAAACUAUACCGACUAAGGAUCAGUGAACGUUGAUUUACCACUUCAUUGGCACUUUGUGAGAAAUCAAAGUCUUUGGGUUCCGGGGGGAGUAUGGUCGCAAGGCUGAAACUUAAAGGAAUUGACGGAAGGGCACCACCAAGAGUGGAGCCUGCGGCUUAAUUUGACUCAACACGGGAAAACUUACCGGGUCCAGACAUAGUGAGGAUUGACAUAUUGAAGAUCUUUCUUGAUUCUAUGGGUGGGUGGUGCAUGGCCGUUCUUAGUGGGGAGAGUGAUUUGUCUGGUUAAUUCCGUUAACCAAACGAACACCUCCACCUGCUAAAUAGUACCCAGUUUUUUCAUUGGAUAAUCUGGGGCACUUCUUAGAGGGAGAAUAGGG
rnacentral:rRNA from 1 species